ACACUCUGGUUUCUCUUCAUUCAUUCUCGAAUAAAUCUUUCACCUUUUACUAAAUAUUUUAUUAGAGAGGAACAAUUAUGAGUCUUAUGUCUUUUUCUGAUACCCGGCAAAAGCUGGGC